GGCUCAGGAUGAACGCUAGCUACAGGCUUAACACAUGCAAGUCGAGGGGCAGCAUGGGGGUUUGCUUGCAAACCCUGAUGGCGACCGGCGCACGGGUGAGUAACGCGUAUCCAACCUUCCCGUCACUCGGGGACAGCCCAGCGAAAGCUGGAUUAACCCCCGAUGUUGUCAUAUGAUAGCAUUAGAGUGUGACGAAAGGCUAACGGUGACGGAUGGGGAUGCGUCUGAUUAGGUAGUAGGCGGGGUAACGGCCCACCUAGCCGACGAUCAGUAGGGGUUCUGAGAGGAAGGUCCCCCACAUUGGAACUGAGACACGGUCCAAACUCCUACGGGAGGCAGCAGUGAGGAAUAUUGGUCAAUGGACGCAAGUCUGAACCAGCCAAGUAGCGUGCAGGAUGACGGCCCUAUGGGUUGUAAACUGCUUUUAUGCGGGGAUAAAGUGUGGGACGUGUCCCAUAUUGCAGGUACCGCAUGAAUAAGGACCGGCUAAUUCCGUG
rnacentral:rRNA from 1 species